rnacentral:rRNA from 1 species
UGGGGAAUUUUCCGCAAUGGGCGAAAGCCUGACGGAGCAAUACCGCGUGAGGGAGGAAGGCUCUUGGGUUGUAAACCUCUUUUCUCAGGGAAUAAGCAAGUGAAGGUACCUGAGGAAUCAGCAUCGGCUAACUCCGUGCCAGCAGCCGCGGUAAUACGGAGGAUGCAAGCGUUAUCCGGAAUGAUUGGGCGUAAAGCGUCCGUAGGUAGCAGUGUGUGUCUAUUGUUAAAGAGUUUGGCUUAACCAAAUAAAGGCGGUAGAAACUACACAGCUAGAGUGCGUUCGGGGCAGAGGGAAUUCCUGGUGUAGC